AUUGAACGCUGGCGGCAGGACUAACACAUGCAAGUCGAACGAGUGGCGGACGGGUGAGUAAUGUCUGGACAACUGCCUGAUGGAGGGGGAUAACUACUGGAAACGUUCUCUAAUACCGCAUACCAUCAGAUGUGCCCAUAUGGGAUUAGCUAGUUGUGGGGGUAACGGAUCAACAAGGCGACGAUCCCUAGCUGGGCUGAGAGGAUGACAAGCCACACGGGAACUGAGACACGGUCCAGACUCCUACGGGAGGCAGCAGUGGGGAAUAUUGCACAAUGGGCGCAAGCCUGAUGCAGCCAUGCCGCGUGUAUGAAGAAGGCCUUCGGGUUGUAAAGUACUUUCAGCGGGGAGGCGUUACCCGCAGAAGAAGCACCGGCUAACGCCGUGCCAGCAGCCGCGGUAAUUC
rnacentral:rRNA from 1 species